rnacentral:misc_RNA from 1 species
GCAAACUUGGUCAUUUAGAGGAAGUAAAAGUCGUAACAAGGUAACCGUAGGUGAACCUGCGGUUGGAUCAUUAAAAAAUAUUUGGUCUCGCACCAAAUGAACAUUUCUGUGCACUAUUGACUGUUUUUGGUAGUUCGAGUGCCUCGUGCCUAUCGUUUCUCAGGACCUCGGUUCCGGGAGUAAUCCGGUUGGGCUACCGCUAUUUUGUGAAAAACAACUUAAUGUUAUGUUUUUUUGUCUGAACGAAGAGUUAGUCUUUAUUGAUUAAUGAUUUGAAUACAACUUUUGACAACGGAUCUCUUGGCUCUCGCAUCGAUGAAGAACGCAGC